rnacentral:rRNA from 1 species
AACGAACGCUGGCGGCAUGCCUAACACAUGCAAGUCGAACGAGACCUUCGGGUCUAGUGGCGCACGGGUGCGUAACGCGUGGGAACCUGCCCUUAGGUUCGGAAUAACUCCCCGAAAGGGGUGCUAAUACCGGAUAAUGUCUUCGGACCAAAGAUUUAUCGCCUUUGGAUGGGCCCGCGUUGGAUUAGCUAGUUGGUAGGGUAAAAGCCUACCAAGGCGACGAUCCAUAGCUGGUCUGAGAGGAUGAUCAGCCACACUGGGACUGAGACACGGCCCAGACUCCUACGGGAGGCAGCAGUGGGGAAUAUUGGACGAUGGGCGAAAGCCUGAUCCAGCGAUGCCGCGUGAGUGAUGAAGGCCUUAGGGUUGUAAAGCUCUUUUACCCGGGAUGAUAAUGACAGUACCGGGAGAAUAAGCUCCGGCUAACUCCGUG